rnacentral:tRNA from 1 species
GUGGAUGUAGCUCGGUGAUAGAGCCCUUGUCUAGCACAUGUGAGGUGCUGGGUUCGAUCCUCAGCACCAUA